AAACCAACAGGGAUUGCCCUAGUAACGGCGAGUGAAGCGGCAACAGCUCAAAUUUGAAAUCUGGCUCUUUCAGGGUCCGAGUUGUAAUUUGCAGAGGGUGCUUUGGUGUUGGCGGCGGUCUAAGUUCCUUGGAACAGGACAUCCCAGAGGGUGAGAAUCCCGUAUGUGGUCGCCUGCCUUCGCCGUGUAAAGCCCCUUCGACGAGUCGAGUUGUUUGGGAAUGCAGCUCUAAAUGGGAGGUAAAUUUCUUCUAAAGCUAAAUACCGGCCAGAGACCGAUAGCGCACAAGUAGAGUGAUCGAAAGAUGAAAAGCACUUUGGAAAGAGAGUCAAACAGCACGUGAAAUUGUUAAAAGGGAAGCGCUUGCAGCCAGACUUGCCUGUAGUUGCUCGCCUGGGCUUUUGCCCGGGUUACUCUUCUGCAGGCAGGCCAGCAUCAGUUUGGGCGGUCGGAUAAAGGUCCCUUUCACGUAUCUCCCUUCGGGUUAACAUAUAGGGGGGGCGUAAUGCCACCAGCCUGGACUGAGGUCCGCGCAUCUGCUAGGAUGCUGGCGUAAUGGCUGUAAGCGGC
rnacentral:rRNA from 1 species